rnacentral:rRNA from 1 species
AUUGAACGCUGGCGGCAUGCCUUACACAUGCAAGUCGAACGGUAACAGGUCUUCGGAUGCUGACGAGUGGCGAACGGGUGAGUAAUACAUCGGAACGUGCCUAGUAGUGGGGGAUAACUACUCGAAAGAGUGGCUAAUACCGCAUGAGAUCUACGGAUGAGAGCAGGGGAUCGCAAGACCUUGUGCUACUAGAGUGGCCGAUGGCAGAUUAGGUAGUUGGUGGGAUAAAAGCUUACCAAGCCGACGAUCUGUAGCUGGUCUGAGAGGACGAUCAGCCACACUGGGACUGAGACACGGCCCAGACUCCUACGGGAGGCAGCAGUGGGGAAUUUUGGACAAUGGGCGCAAGCCUGAUCCAGCAAUGCCGCGUGCAGGAUGAAGGCCUUCGGGUUGUAAACUGCUUUUGUACGGAACGAAAAGCCCUGGGUUAAUACCCUGGGGUCAUGACGGUACCGUAAGAAUAAGCACCGGCUAACUACGUGCCAGCCGCCGCGGUAAAAC